ACCACUAACCCACCGGGAGAAAGGGGACUCCCAAGUGUAGGAAAGGCUCUCCACACUCUACUCCUACUCAAUACGUCCCCGGCGUACAGAGCAAGUAACAUGUCUUUCCAAAUAUCUUAACUUGGGUAUACGGGGAAUAUCAACCGCUUUGGAGGAAGGGUGAUAUGGCUAAAUUGAGAGGA
rnacentral:ribozyme from 1 species